rnacentral:rRNA from 1 species
CCUACGGGAGGCAGCAGUGAGGAAUAUUGGUCAAUGGGCGAGAGCCUGAACCAGCCAAGGCGCGUGAAGGAUGAAGGAUCUAUGGUUUGUAAACUUCUUUUAUAUGGGAAUAAAGUGAGGAACGUGUUACGUUUUGUAUGGACCAUAUGAAUAAGCAUCGGCUAACUCCGUGCCAGCAGCCGCGGUAAUACGGAGGAGGCGAGCGUUAUCCGGAUUGAUUGGGUUUAAAGGGUGCGUAGGUGGUUAAUCAAGUCAGCGGUGAAAGUCUGGGGCUCAACCAUAAAAUUGCCGUUGAAACUGGUUGGCUUGAGUAUUGUUGAGGGAGGCGGAAUGCGAGGUGUAGCGGUGAAAUGCAUAGAUAUCACGCAGAACACCGAUUGCGAAGGCAGCCUACUAGACUAUAACUGACACUGAAGCACGAAAGCGUGGGGAGCAAACAGGAUUAGAUACCCUAGUAGUC